UACGUAGGUGGCAAGCGUUGUCCGGAAUCAUUGGGCGUAAAGCGCGCGUAGGUGGCUUCGUCAGUCCGUUGUGAAAGUCAAAGGCUCAACCUUUGAAUGCCGAUGGAUACUGCGAAGCUAGAGUACGGAAGAGGCGAGUGGAAUUCCUGGUGUAGCGGUGAAAUGCGCAGAUAUCAGGAGGAACACCGGUGGCGAAGGCGGAUCUCUGGGCCAUUACUGACGCUGAGGAGCGAAAGCGUGGGGAGCGAACAGG
rnacentral:rRNA from 1 species